AGCCCUCGGCCUAGGCCACUUGCUUAGACCAGUUCUACGUCAAGCCAUAGUUUAAAGAGCAGAAGGAAGUGAAGGCGUGUGUUUUUGCAGUGCAUCUUGGUCAAUGAAGUUCUUACGGUGACACCCGGCUUCCCAGAAUGCAGCGCGCUCUGUGAGUUGGCAUUUUUAAACUGAUCUCUGAAUCGGUCGCGGGGAAGUCCUUAAAGGGCUAUAGCCCCUCCUUCUUGGAACUUCUUUUAGACAACCUCAGAACUGAUUCACCAGCCUCCACAGAAGGCCUGAGUUAAGGAAGGUGGAGCUCGCAAAGCAACAGGAUUGGGCAGAACUGAAGAUGGAAGUCAGCCAUCGAUGCAGCAGAACUCCCGAGGGCUUCGGGGUAUAGGGACGACUGUCAGCCGCGCGGCCCCAGUCUUCACUGGAGAUCUAGUCUACCCUUCGUGGGUCUAGUGAGAGGAGUCUUUUCUAGUAAAGGUCUGUCUCGUCCUGGUCGCCGAAGAGCCACGGCUUCUCAACGGGCAGCUUCCUAACAAAGGAUUUAUAUAGCACAGCUCUCACUUUAGAGAGAAGGCUUCUGUUUAGAAAUUAGGGGACGAUCUGUGGAAAAGUAAUACAGCCAGAAACCCCAUUCUUUGACUUGCACCCAUUCAGUCCGGGCCUCCAAAGCGCUUCACUGACUCAGGCCUACUUAGGGAAGUGAUUUCAAAGGUGGAGACCAAUGAAGAGGCUGCUCCUUCCCCAGGGGCCAAUCAGAGUCUGAAGAAUGGGGGAUGGGCAAAAACUGAAAUGAACCCAAUGACUUGGCAAAAGCUGCUGAAUUGCUUAUUUAAAGGGACAAGCCUGGGACCACCUCAUCACUCCCUCCUCACCCUCAAAGAGGAACUUGUGGCCCGGGGUUCAUGACUUUUGCAUCAUAUCCAGAUUGAGGGUGCCGGCAAAUGAGGCGGAGAAAUGAGAGGGGAGUCUGAGGUAGCUCCUGGGUCAAGUAUGUGCUAGGUGACUGCUAAUGUUCCUUCAGACUCCUAAGUUCUGCGCUCAGGACAUUGUGCCUUUAAGGAGACUUCCUGCCUUCCGCCCCAGUAACAGCUGAUUGUUCGACCCCAGGGGACGAGUCAGCCUUAACCACAUCCUCCUCCUUUCAGCCUGUCCUUCUCCGUCUCCUUUGCUCAGAUCCGCCCCCCCCCCCCACCCCGUGUCCCCAUUGGGUGGUAAGGGAAGGAAAUGGAACCCCAAGCAUGGAGGGUGGAGGGGUAUGGUUUUGUUCUUUCAGUGAUCUUUUCUCCAUCACUCCAGGAUUGCCACCUCCCCUAACAUCUUCUCCUUAGUUUUUCAGAGUUCUGAGGAAACUGGAACCGGAGAUAUUUCUUGUCAGCACAGUCCGUUUGGUGGGGAGGCCUGUUAUGGUGGCUAGCUGAGUGUGGGUGCUCCAAUAGGCUCUCUGGAUGGUACAGGGAAACCGAGCCCAGGCCUAGGGAAAAGGAAAGGUUGUGUAAAGUAAGCCGGGUGGGUCAGAACCCUGUUUCCUGUGCCAGCUGCCCCUUUCUCGCUGUUUCCCUUCCUAGGUCAGGUAGCUGGUGGAGUCCUCUGCCUUUGCCUGCUUCCUCCACGUCUCACUUCUUAGGCGCCACUAAUCUUUUAUUUUAACCCACCCCCUCCCACAGCUAAUGUGCCAACAUUUUGUUAGCUCAGGUACUGCAGGUGGAACACACGGGUCCUGGAAGCCAGGGUCGUCUUCUGGGAACUCUUACGGGAGGACCCAGGGUUUUAAGAAGAAGUUGUUUGAAACCACUUAGCACGGUGCAAAUUCACCGGACCCACGGUUGGCACACUCUUUGCCAGCUUCUUUCUUGCUGAUCUCACUUGGCGUGUGCUGGUGGCCCACAGGCAGCUGCGGUUUCCUCAGUGCCGAGCCAAAAGUGUUCUUCUGGAAACACGGUUCUCAUAUCUAACCUGAAGAUAGAGAAUUUUCAUGGGCCAUCUUGUUUCUCAGCUGAAAAACAAUAAUGUCCAAGUACAGGAAUACUAGUUUAAUUAAUUAAAAGAGAAUAUAAGCAAGCUCGCUUGCCUGCAUAUUCUCUCUCCCUUCGUCUCUCUCUCUCUCUCUCUCUCUCUCUCUCUCUCUCUCUCUCUCUCUCUCUCUCUCUCUCUCUGAGACAAGGUCUCAUUAUGUCACCCAGGCUAGCCUGGAACCUUCUACAUAGACCAGGCUGGCAUGGAACUCACAGAGAUUCUCCUGCCUCUGCCUCUGUAGUGUUGGAUUAAAGGCGAGCACCACUA